UACAGAGGGUGCAAGCGUUGUUCGGAAUUAUUGGGCGUAAAGCGCGUGUAGGCGGCUUUGCAAGUCGGGUGUGAAAGCCCUCAGCUUAACUGAGGAAGUGCGCCCGAAACUGCGUUGCUUGAGUACCGGAGAGGGUGGCGGAAUUCCCCAAGUAGAGGUGAAAUUCGUAGAUAUGGGGAGGAACACCGGUGGCGAAGGCGGCCACCUGGACGGAUACUGACGCUGAGACGCGAAAGCGUGGGUAGCAAACAGG
rnacentral:rRNA from 1 species